GAUGAAUUCAUGGGAUCCAGGGAUGGAUUUGGGGGAUCCAGGGAUGGAUUAAUGAGAUCCAGGGAUGGAUUUGGGGGAUCAAUGGAUGGAUUUGUGGGAUCCAGGGAUGGAUUCAUGGGAUCAAUGGAUAGAUUUGUGGGAUCCAGGGUUGAAUUAAUGAGAUCCCACAGAUGGAUGGAUUCAUGGGAUCAGUGGAUGUGUUCAUGGGAUCCAGGGAUGGAUUAAUGAGAUCCCACAGAAGGAUCCAUGGCAUCAAUGGAUGGACUGUGGGAUCCAGGGAUGGAUUGUGGGAUCAGUGGAUGGAUUUGUGGGAUCAGUGGAUGGAUUAAUGAGGUCCAUGGAUGGAUUUGUGGGAUCAAUGGAUGCAUUCAUGGGAUCAUUGGAGGGAUUUGUGGGAUCCAAGGAUGGAUUUGUGGGAUCCAGGGAUGGAUUAACGACACC
rnacentral:lncRNA from 1 species